GGAUCCGAGUUUGUUCACUGAUGGAGAGGGGCACUUAGAGCAAGAUACCCGACCUUGACUGGGGACCAAGCACGAAAUCCCUAAGAGGUGACAGGAAGAGAGAAGUCUGAAACGUUAAGUGAGUUAACCAGAUGGUGUCAGAAGUGGAAUCCAAAGAAGAGCUAACAACCCCCAGGAGCGCUGAGCGUGGUUCCCACUCGGCCCAUUGUGCCCAUUGCUCUCUUGGAGCAGCUGGGGAUCGUGGCUAGAGUACAAUGGCACAAUCACGGGUCACCGCAACCUCCACCCCCUGGGCUCAAGUGAUUCCCCUGCCUCAGCCUCCUGAGUAGCUGGGAUUACAGGUAUGUGCCACCACACCUGGCUAAUUUUGUAUUUUUAGUAGAGAUAGGGUUUCUCCAUGUUGGUCAGGCUGGUCUUGAACUCCCG
rnacentral:lncRNA from 1 species